CAAGCUGGCCAGUGAUAGCUGGUUGAAUCAAGCAGAAGUCAGCCGAAGUCAUAGUAGUGGCACACAGUGCCACGAAGGAC
rfam:Lactobacillus ghanensis DSM 18630 NODE_33, whole genome shotgun sequence.